rnacentral:rRNA from 1 species
UCGGGAAUUUUGGGCAAUGGGGGAAACCCUGACCCAGCAACGCCGCGUGAAGGAUGAAGUAUUUCGGUAUGUAAACUUCGAAAGAAUAGGAAGAAUAAAUGACGGUACUAUUUAUAAGCUCCGGCUAACUACGUGCCAGCAGCCGCGGUAAUACGUAGGGAGCAAGCGUUGUUCGGAUUUACUGGGCGUAAAGGGCGCGUAGGCGGCGCUGUAAGUCACUUGUGAAAUCUCUGAGCUUAACUCAGAACGGCCAGGUGAUACUGCAGUGCUAGAGUGCAGAAGGGGCAAUCGGAAUUCUUGGUGUAGCGGUGAAAUGCGUAGAUAUCAAGAGGAACACCUGAGGUGAAGACGGGUUGCUAGGCUGACACUGACGCUGAGGCGCGAAAGCUAGGGGAGCAAACGGGAUUAGAUACCCUCGUAGUCCCUGAGCGGGCUGGCAAGGCGCAU